rnacentral:rRNA from 1 species
GGAAACGAACGCUAAUACCGCAUGAUAUUAUCUUAUCGCAUGAUAGGAUGAUCAAAGGAGUGAUCCGCUGAAAGAUGGGCUCGCGUCCGAUUAGGUAGUUGGUGAGGUAACGGCCCACCAAGCCGACGAUCGGUAGCCGGACUGAGAGGUUGGACGGCCACAUUGGGACUGAGACACGGCCCAGACUCCUACGGGAGGCAGCAGUAAGGGAUAUUGGUCAAUGGGGGAAACCCUGAACCAGCAACGCCGCGUGAGGGAAGACGGUUUUCGGAUUGUAAACCUCUGUCCUCUGUGAAGAUGAUGACGGUAGCAGAGGAGGAAGCUCCGGCUAACUACGUGCCAGCAGCCGCGGUAAUACGUAGGGAGCGAGCGUUGUCCGGAUUUACUGGGUGUAAAGGGUGCGUAGGCGGCUAUGCAAGUCAGUAGUGAAAUCCAUGGGCUUAACCCAUGAACUGCUAUUGAAACUGCACAGCUUGAGUGAAGUAGAGGUAGGCGGAAUUCCCGGUGUAGCGGUGAAAUGCGUAGAGAUCGGGAGGAACACCAGUGGCGAAGGCGGCCUACUGGGCUUUAACUGACGCUGAGGCACGAAAGCGUGGGUAGCAAACAGGAUUAGAUACCCUGGUAGUCCACGCUGUAAACGAUGAUUA